rnacentral:rRNA from 1 species
CGUAGUGGCAAGCGUUGUCCGGAUUUAUGGGUUUAAAGGGUGCGUAGGCGGUUCCAUAAGUCAGUGGUGAAAUACGGCAGCUCAACUGUCGAGGUGCCAUUGAUACUGCGGAACUUGAGUACUGAUGAGGUAGGCGGAAUUGACGGUGUAGCGGUGAAAUGCUUAGAUAUCGUCAAGAACACCGAUAGCGAAGGCAGCUUACCAAGCAGUAACUGACGCUGAGGCACGAAAGUGCGGGGAUCAAACAGGAUUAGAUACCCUGGUAGUCCGCACAGUAAACGAUGAUUACUCGAUGUUGGCGAUACACAGCCAGCGUCUUAGCGAAAGCGAUAAGUAAUCCACCUGGGGAGUACGCCCGCAAGGGUG